UGGCGGCGUGCUUAACACAUGCAAGUCGAACGGUCGCAAGACAGUGGCGCACGGGUGAGGAACACGUAGCUUAUCUGCCCCGAAGUGUGGGAUAACGCUCCGAAAGGAGUGCUAAUACCGCAUAAGCUCCCGAUCUACAGAGGGUUGGGAGAAAAGGCGCAAGUCGCUUUGGGAGGAGGCUGCGGCCCAUCAGGUAGUUGGUGCGGUAGCGGCGCACCAAGCCAACGACGGGUAGGGGACCUGAGAGGGUGAUCCCCCACACUGGGACUGAGACACGGCCCAGACUCCUACGGGAGGCAGCAGUGAGGAAUAUUGCCCAAUGGACGCAAGUCUGAGGCAGCGACGCCGCGUGGGUGAAGAAGGCCUUCGGGUCGUAAAGCCCUUUUCUGCGUGACGAGACAAAGGACGGUAGCGCAGGAAAAAGUCUCGGCUAACUACGUGCCAGCAGCCGCGGUAAAACGUAGGAGGCAAGCGUUAUCCGGAGUUACUGGGCGUAAAGAGUGCGUAGGCGGACGUGUAAGUGGGUGGUGAAAGCGCCCAGCUAAACCGGGCGAGGUCCAUUCAGACUGCAGGUCUAGAGGCGGAUAGAGGGGUGCGGAAUUCCGGGUGUAGCGGUGAAAUGUGUAGAGAUCCGGAGGAACACCAGUGGUGCAAACGGCGCCCUGGGUCCGAACUGACGCUGAAGCACGAAA
rnacentral:rRNA from 1 species